rnacentral:rRNA from 1 species
UACGAGGGGGGCGAGCGUUGUCCGGAAUUAUUGGGCGUAAAGAGCUCGUAGGCGGUGUGUCGCGUCGGCCGUGAAAACCUGCAGCUUAACUGUGGGCUUGCGGUCGAUACGGGCAUCACUGGAGUUCGGCAGGGGAGACUGGAAUUCCUGGUGUAGCGGUGAAAUGCGCAGAUAUCAGGAGGAACACCGGUGGCGAAGGCGGGUCUCUGGGCCGAUACUGACGCUGAGGAGCGAAAGCGUGGGGAGCGAACAGG